rfam:Ictidomys tridecemlineatus contig028861, whole genome shotgun sequence.
GGGGAUAUAGCUCAUUUAGUAGAGUACUUGCCUCCCAUGCACAAGGCCCUGGGUUCAAUCCCCAACACCACCA